UGACCCAUGGUGUAAUGGUAGCACUACAGGUUUUGGUUCUGUCUGUUGAGGUUCGAAUCCUCAUGGGUCAACUA
rnacentral:tRNA from 1 species